rnacentral:rRNA from 1 species
GAAAAUACCAAGCCUGCUUGGUUGAUUAGUGGCGAACGGGUGAGUAACACGUGAGUAACCUGCCCCUUACUUUCCUGGAUAACUGCUCGAAAGGGUAGCUAAUACGGGAUAUUCUGACCAGCCUGCAUGGGUUGGUUUGGAAAGGUUGUUUUUCUGGUAAGGGAUGGGCUCGCGGCCUAUCAGCUUGUUGGUGGGGUGAUGGCCUACCAAGGCUUUGACGGGUAGCCGGCCUGAGAGGGUGGACGGUCACACUGGGACUGAGAUACGGCCCAGACUCCUACGGGAGGCAGCAGUGGGGAAUAUUGCACAAUGGGCGCAAGCCUGAUGCGGCGACGCCGCGUGAGGGAUGAAGGCCUUCGGGUUGUAAACCUCUUUCGUCAGGGAACAAGGCACUGCUUUGGUGGUGUUGAGGGUACCUGGAUAAGAAGCGCCGGCUAACUACGUGCCAGCAGCCGCGGUAAUACGUAGGGCGCAAGCGUUGUCCGGAAUUAUUGGGCGUAAAGAGCUCGUAGGCGGCUGGUCGCGUCUGUCGUGAAAACUUCCGGCUCAACCGGGGGCUUGCGGUGGGUACGGGCCGGCUAGAGUGCGGUAGGGGUAACUGGAACUCCUGGUGUAGCGGUGGAAUGCGCAGAUAUCAGGAAGAACACCGAUGGCGAAGGCAGGUUACUAGGCCGUUACUGACGCUGAGGAGCGAAAGCGUGGGGAGCGAACAGGAUUAGAUACCCUGGUAGUCCACGCCGUAAACGUUGGGCACUAGGUGUGAGGCUCCUUUCCGGGGGGUUUUGCGCCGUA